rnacentral:lncRNA from 1 species
UUUAGUGUAGUUUUAAAAUUUCUAAACACAUUCAACAUUUGUAUUAAUGUAUAUUAAACUCUCUUUUAUGGUACAUGAGAAUAGUUUAAAUGUUUUGUAAAUUAAUUUAUUAAAACUUCGUAAUACUCCCUAAAUUGAUUGACCAACCACUAUAAUAUCGCUAUUCUCUAGAAAAACGGUGACAACAAUGGUUCCAAACCUCUUUUACCUUCAUCAUAUGUUAGUGAAGUAUGCAAUUAUGCAUUAAAAUAGAAUUUUAAUUUUUUUGAAUUUUUCUCAAAAUCUAUGGGUAUAACCCCUACAAAUAUACAUAAUUUUUGGAUAAAU